rnacentral:rRNA from 1 species
UACGUAGGGACCAAGCGUUGUCCGGAUUUAUUGGGUUUAAAGGGUGCGUAGGCGGUCCCAUAAGUCAGUGGUGAAAUACUCUAGCUUAACUAGAGGGGUGCCAUUGAUACUGUGGGACUUGAGUAGAGUCGAGGUGGGCGGAAUUGACGGUGUAGCGGUGAAAUGCUUAGAUAUCGUCAAGAACACCAAUAGUGAAGACAGCUCACUAGGCUCAAACUGACGCUGAGGCACGAAAGUGUGGGGAUCAAACAGG